AAAGCUCACAUUUGAAAUCCCCCCGGGGAGUUGUAAUUUGAAGAUUGCGUCUUGGAGGCGACCGUGUCUAUGUUCCUUGGAACAGGACGUCACAGAGGGUGAGAAUCCCGUGCGGCACGGCCCCCGGCUCCUUAUAAGGCGCUCUCGACGAGUCGAGUUGUUUGGGAAUGCAGCUCAAAGUGGGUGGUAAAUUCCAUCUAAAGCUAAAUACAGGCGAGAGACCGAUAGCGAACAAGUACAGUGAUGGAAAGAUGAAAAGCACUUUGAAAAGAGAGUGAAACAGCACGUGAAAUUGUUGAAAGGGAAGGGCAUGCCGUCAGAUUGUCAGUGUGGGUAAGAAGCGGGGUACAAAGACUGUGGAACGUGGCCCUCGGGUGUUAUAGCCGCAGUUCAUGCCCCGUCUCUUUCCGAGGCCUGCUUUGAGGACACCGACGUAAUGACGGUACGCCGCCCGUCUGAA
rnacentral:rRNA from 1 species